AGGACGAACGCUGGCGGCGUGCUUAACACAUGCAAGUCGAGCGGUAAGGCCCUUUCGGGGGUACACGAGCGGCGAACGGGUGAGUAACACGUGAGCAAUCUGCCCUUCACUUCGGGAUAAGCCUCGGAAACGGGGUCUAAUACCGGAUAUGACUGCGCCAUGCAUGUGGUGUGGUGGAAAGUUCUGGCGGUGAGGGAUGAGCUCGCGGCCUAUCAGCUUGUGGUGGGUAUGGCCUA
rnacentral:rRNA from 1 species